GCUCCAUUUCUUAACUAGAUAAAAAUUAAUUUUUUUUUUUUUUAUGUUUUUUUUUUUUGGUUGGUAUUUACUUAGCUAUUUAGAUACCAAUUGCUUUAACAUUUGGCAUCCAUCGUCUCUGUUUACAACUAGAACAAGCUGUGGUCCACAUCUCCGCAUCUCAAUCAGAAUAACCCAUGCUAAAUUUUGGUCCCGCGAGGUUGAUGUUGAAUUUUACAGAAAUUUUUCUGUUUUUAACUGAAAUACAUUAUUUUGGAAAAACAGAAGCAGACAUUUGAGUCAGUGCUUGGUGGAAUUAGAUACGACUGUCUCUAGGAGACAAGUUUUGAAAAUUUAAGUGUUUAAUUGAUCCUGUGGUCUUUUAUUUUUAUUGUAUGGUUUAUUUGGUAAAUGUAUAGUCAAAAUAGGUUUGAGACUGAUAUUGCUGAUCACUUUGUUCAUUUUGAGACAGAUUUCUCUAUUAUUUGGAAUGAACGUAAGGUGGCAUUUCAGUUAAAAAUGAACUUCAAAUGUGAAGCUUGUUUACGUUUCUCUAGAUAUAAGAGGAUGUGGUAUGAGUGCCAAUGACACAGCUCGCCUUCUAAGUCACAAUUUUUUAAAAAUAAAAACCAUUAUAGGUCAAAGUACGGUUUUCAACACAGAGUCUUGGUUCACACCAAACAAUAAGCUAUAAAGUGUCCCCAAAAUGACUAGUGUAAAACUAUUCAAACGGGAAAAACAACGGUCUAAUCUAUAUACAGAACGAGAAACACUAAUGAAUCACAUCAACAAACGACAACAAGGAACAUUAAAAGAUAACAAGACCUUUAAACAGACUUAUUAAGAAGGGAUAUAGUUACGAUACGGUUGUCAGGUCAUUCAAGUUUUCAUAUUUUGGCUUUAAUAUUGAUUCACUUAUAGGGUCUUUACAUCGAAAUUAAACACAUUUAUUACAAAACCAUUUGUUGGCAUGACACGGGUUAUGUUUUUCUCUUAAAUAUUUUAUGUGUAUAAUACUGAACCCCUAACGGAAGUUGCCUGGUAUUCCCAUGAUGAAGACAUACUCUUUCAAUCAGUUUAAUUGAGGUCUGGAGCUGGCAUGUCAGUAACUGCUAGUAGUCUGUAGUUAUUUAUGUAUUAUUGUCAUUUUGUUUAUUUUCUUUUGUUACCUCUUCUGACAUCGGACUCGGACUUCUCUUGAACUGAAUUUUACUGUGCAUAUGGUUAUGCGUUUACUUUUCUACAUUGGUCAGAGGUAUAGGGGAGGGUUGAGAUCUCAAAAACAUGUUUAACCCACCGUAUUUUUUCGCCUGUACCAAGUCAGGAGCCUCUGGCCUUUGUUAGUCUUGGAUUAUUUUUAAUUUUAUUUUUUUGUGUUUAAUUUGUUUAGCAUGAAGUCCAUUAUCACUAAACUAGUAUAUAUAUUUGUUUAGGGGCAAGCUGAAGGACGCCUCCGGAUGCGGAAGUUUCUCGCUGCAUUGAACACCUAUUGGUGACCUUCUGAUGUUGUCUGUUCUAUUGUCGGGUUGUUGUCUCUUUGACACAUUCCCCAUUUCCAUUCUCAAUUUUAGAAAAGGGUAUUGUCUAUUUAAAAAGAUAGGAGAUACAAAAUUAUUUUGUCUGAAGCUGUCAGGGAGAAUUAUAAAACCCUUGACAUUAAAUUAUCCAUAUUUUGAGUCAGAGACGGGAGAUCUUCCCAUAAUGCCCGCCCCUCCUCCCCCUCCAAAAAACAGUAAACAACACAACAAUCUUAUUGACUCGGUGUGCGCCUUUUCCUAAAUUCCUUUUUUUGUUGUUCUCCAGAUCCCACCUUUUAUGUCCCCUUGAUUUCACUACCCCAAUUUUUAUAAUCCUAUAUCCAACAUCCCCUUUUUGUAACCUCAACACCACCCCUCUAUAUAUUCCGAGGGCUACUUGCAAGAUUCAUUUUGAUCAAGAUGGAUUUUAUGCCCAAAAUUAUCAGCAUGGUAUGGAACAGGAUUAAAGUUU
rnacentral:lncRNA from 1 species